rnacentral:lncRNA from 1 species
AAAAACUAUCCUCAGUGUUGGGUGUGCAAAAGAACAAGCCACCAAGAAAAAGAUUCAUGGAUACCUCCCUCAGGAAGCAUGGAGACCUCCUUUAGGAAAUUCCUACCACACCCUGCAUCUCCCUGAGGAUGCUUCUUUGAGGGCUGCGUCUCCCGAAGGACGCUUCUGGUUGUCGCCCUGCGUCUUCCUUAGGAUGCUACUUAUGCGCAACUUUAUGACUAUCCUGCCCCCUUAGGUAAUGGAUAGAAACAUGGAUACCUCCAGCAAGAAGCAUGGAAACCUCCUUUUAAGAAGUUU